rnacentral:lncRNA from 1 species
UAUGAUCUGAAUAUCCUAGGAACCUCUGGAUACAAUUUCUCAAAUAGUUGAAUAUCUCAAGAAAGAGUUUGAGAUGAAAGAUCUUGGAAAACAAAGUUUUGUUUGGGAUUACAGCUUGAGUACAUUAACAAUGAAAUCCUUGUGCAUCAAAUAGUAUAUACAGAAAAGGGUACUCAGACUCUAAGCCAUACCUCCUUAUCAAUCAAACUCCCUCACUUUUAUCAAACCCAGAUUAAGCUUCUUCAACUCAAUGUUUUUCUUAUCCAUUACCCUUU